AUCUUGCCAUUUUCUCCAAGCUGUACAGUUCCACUGGCCACCAGCUGAAGGGCUGCAGGAAAUAUUUUAUGUUCUGCUAAUUUUACUCUUUCAGAAAGAGUUGCGACAGUAUCACCCCUCUUCACGGGAACAGCUUCUUGCAAAAUAAUCUGUCCAGCAUCCACAUCUUCCUGGAAAAGUAAGCAAAAGUUUUGGACAUACUCACAGCUACAAAGUGUACAGUGCACCCAGUAACUGUGACUCCGGUUUCCAGGGCUUGCUCAUGGGCAUUUGAACCCUUAAAAGAAGGGAGCAAGGAUGGGUGGAUAUUGAGCAUUUUUUGCUUACCAUUCCACUUUUGGACAAAGGGGCCAGAAAGAAUUCUCAUGAAUCCUGCAAGACAGACUAUGUCUAUGGAGAACUCUUCAAGGACUAGGUCAAUUGCACUGUCAAAUUCUACACGAUUUUUAUACAGUUUAUGAUUAAUUACCUGUAAU
rnacentral:lncRNA from 1 species